UACAGAGGUCCCAAGCGUUGUUCGGAUUCAUUGGGCGUAAAGGGUGCGUAGGUGGCGCCAUAAGUCAGGUGUGAAAUUUCGGAGCUUAACUCCGAAACUGCAUUUGAUACUGGGUGUCUUGAGUGUGGAAGAGGUGAGUGGAAUUCCGAGUGUAGAGGUGAAAUUCGUAGAUAUUCGGAGGAACACCAGUGGCGAAGGCGGCUCACUGGUCCAUUACUGACGCUGAGGUGCGAAAGCGUGGGAGCAAACAGG
rnacentral:rRNA from 1 species